AUGUAAAAGUGUAAAGGCACAGAAAAUUUUGAUUUUUCAGGGGUUGGUGUGAUUCCAAUUUACGUAAA
rnacentral:tRNA from 1 species